GACGAACGCUGGCGGCGUGCUUAACACAUGCAAGUCGAACGGAAAGGCCCUGCUUUUGUGUGGUGCUCGAGUGGCGAACGGGUGAGUAACACGUGAGUAACCUGCCCUUGACUUUGGGAUAACUUCAGGAAACUGGGGCUAAUACCGGAUAGGAGCUCCUGCUGCAUGGUGUGGGUUGGAAAGUUUCGGCGGUUGGGGAUGGACUCGCGGCUUAUCAGCUUGUUGGUGUGGUAGUGGCUUACCAAGGCUUUGACGGGUAGCCGGCCUGAGAGGGUGACCGGCCACAUUGGGACUGCGAGACGGCCCAGACUCCUACGGGAGGCAGCAGUGGGGAAUAUUGCACAAUGGGCGGAAGCCUGAUGCAGCAACGCCGCGUGCGGGAUGACGGCCUUCGGGUUGUAAACCGCUUUCGCCUGUGACGAAGCGUGAGUGACGGUAAUGGGUAAAGAAGCACCGGCUAACUACGUG
rnacentral:rRNA from 1 species